GGAGUAGGCUGGGUGAUCGCGGGUGCCGGACCGCAAGGUGGCAUCCGAGGAAAGUCCGGGCUCCAUAGGGCAGGGUGCUGGGUAACGCCCAGUGGGGGCGACCCCAAGGAAAGUGCCACAGAAAGGAAACCGCCCCAAGGGCAAGGGUGAAACGGUGCGGUAAGAGCGCACCAGCAGCUAGGCGACUAGCUGGCUAGGCAAACCCCACCCGGAGAAAGACCAAAUAGGAGGGAGAUGAAGCUGCCCGCUGAUUCCUCGGGUUAGGUCGCUGGAGGUAUCGGGCAACCGAUAUCGUAGAAGGAUGAUCACCCUCGACAGAACCCGGCUUACAGGCCUACUCCUAGG
rnacentral:RNase_P_RNA from 1 species